CCUACGGGAGGCUGCAGUAGGGAAUAUUGCUCAAUGGGGGAAACCCUGAAGCAGCAAUGCCGCGUGCAGGAUGAAGGUUCUAUGAUUUUUAACCUCUUUUUUUAGAGAAGAUAAUGACGGUACCUAUAGAAUACGCACCGGAUAACACGGUGCCAGCAGCGGCGGUAAUACGGAGGCUGCAAGCGUUACUCGGAUUCACUGGGUGUAAAGAGCGCGUAGGCGGGUGAGCAAGUCAGAUGUGAAAUCCUAUGGCUGAACCAUAGAACUGCAUUUGAUACUGUUAUUCUAGAGUAUGGGUGAGGUAGGUGGAAUUCUUGGUGUAGGGGUAAAAUCCGUAGAGAUCAAACGGAAUACUCAUUGCGAAGGCAGCCUACUAAAACAUAACUGACGUUGAGGCGCGAAAGCGUGGGGAGCAAACAGGAUUAGAUACCCCGGUAGUC
rnacentral:rRNA from 1 species